UACGGAGGGAGCUAGCGUUGUUCGGAAUUACUGGGCGUAAAGCGCACGUAGGCGGCUUUGUAAGUUAGAGGUGAAAGCCCGGGGCUCAACCCCGGAAUUGCCUUUAAGACUGCAUCGCUUGAAUCCGGGAGAGGUGAGUGGAAUUCCGAGUGUAGAGGUGAAAUUCGUAGAUAUCGAGAGGAACACCGGUGGCGAAGGCGGCCUUCUGGACAGUGACUGACGCUGAGACGCGAAAGCCAGGGGAGCGAACGGG
rnacentral:rRNA from 1 species